AUGUAAUAAAUAUAUUAUUCUGAGUAGCGUUUCUUUUGGAUUGGGAUUGGGCUGAGAAAGAGAUGAACAUAAAGAGAAAAAGGAAAUGGAUUCUUAGCAAUAUCUAAACACUAAAUCUAUACUUUGAGCCCAAUUACUCUUUGAUACGUUUAUGGUAGAAUAUCCAACAAAUUUAUCA